CUACGGGUGGCAGCAGUGAGGAAUAUUGCACAAUGGGGGGAACCCUGAUGCAGUAACGCCGCGUGGAGGAUGACGCAUUUCGGUGUGUAAACUCCUUUUAUAUGUCAAGAAAAUGACGGUAGCAUAUGAAUAAGCACCGGCUAACUCCGUGCCAGCAGCCGCGGUAAUACGGAGGGGUGCAAGCGUUACUCGGAAUCACUGGGCGUAAAGGACGCGUAGGCGGGUUGGAAAGUCAGGUGUGAAAUCCUACAGCUUAACUGUAGAACUGCACUUGAAACUUCUAAUCUAGAGUAUGGGAGGGGGAGAUGGAAUUAGUGGUGUAGGGGUAAAAUCCGUAGAUAUCACUAGGAAUACCUAAAGCGAAGGCGAUCUCCUGGAACAUUACUGACGCUAGGGCGUGAAAGCGUGGGGAGCAAACAGGAUUAGAUACCCCUGUAGUC
rnacentral:rRNA from 1 species